GGGGGAUAUUGCACAAUGGAGGAAACUCUGAUGCAGCAACGCCGCGUGAAGGAUGAAGGUCUUCGGAUUGUAAACUUUUGUACUUGGGGACGAUAAUGACGGUACCCAAGCAGCAAGCUCCGGCUAACUACGUGCCAGCAGCCGCGGUAAUACGUAGGGAGCAAGCGUUGUCCGGAUUUACUGGGUGUAAAGGGUGCGUAGGCGGCCAUACAAGUCAGUUGUGAAAACUAUGGGCUCAACCCAUAGCCUGCAAUUGAAACUGCGUGGCUUGAGUGAAGUAGAGGUAGGUGGAAUUCCCGGUGUAGCGGUGAAAUGCGUGAGAGAUCGGGAGGAACACCAGUGGCG
rnacentral:rRNA from 1 species